GCUCAGCUGCAUUGUGAGAGUUUAGCUAGAAAUGUUGAACACGAGAAGACUGAAUCAGAAAAGCCCUCAGCACAUUAGGAACUCUUCUCAAACUGUUUGUGUUGAUGAAAUACAAGCGCGCUCCUGCGGAAGACGCACACUAAUGAAGACGCGAAGAGGAGGUAAACUGAAGCUCCCGCGAGAAACAGAGGCACUCGUGAACGCGCCGAGGGCUGAAGCUCCCGUCGGUCUUUAAACAGAUGGAGAAACAUCGGGAGUUCAGGCGUGGUUCCCUGUAGACGGCCAUAUUUAUGCUGAAGAACAUGAAACGGGGACUUCGUGAGACAUUCAUCAGAUCUCAUGCAUUAUAGAAGGAGCGGGAAAGGAGAUAGAUAAUAAACUCCACGCAGAGACGUGAAACAGAGCCUGCAAGCCUCCUUUAACUAGAUAUUGGUUGGUUCUUUGGACAAAUGUGGAUCUGAAAUGUCAUUACAGUUCACAAACACACCCACACACAUUUCCUUUGACAUGUGUGUGUCCCGUGCGUGUCCUCGGGGUUUCACGCGUCUGAUCUCGGUGUGUUGAUCCCUAAGACGUUUGCUUUUGCUCUGAAGGUGUGAACACAAUCACUGUGAUGAGCAUUAUCACCCUCAGCCAGUCACGGCACUGGAUGGAUGUGAUAGGAAACGCAGGACAGAAUGAAUAAAUUCCACAGUCCGCUAUUUAAUUACUUUAAUGAUACUUUAAAGACGAUUGGAAAUGCAAUCUGCAGUGCAUUCAACUUCCGUGACUUUUACAAAAGACAAUGGGAAAUAAUGUAAUGCAGGGCUUGAUUUGAUGCAUAAUGAUUUGAUUGGUCUCACAUUUUACACAACAACAACAUUGGUUGGCAGAUUAAAUUUUUUUAAAAAUGGCAUAAUUUACUCAAAUGACUUUAAAAAUCUUUCUCAUGUGAAACAAAGCAAAAGUUGAGCAAAAUGGGUGAUUUUUCUCCCAUACUGAAAGGGAAUGGACACAGUGAAGCUCCAGAAACUCCCAAAUCAUUAAAAGUCACAACAUUUUGGAAGUUAAUGACAUCAAACUCGGAUGAUAUUUUAUGAAAUAGCCAUUUAAGUUUCAGUCUGGUUUUACUGUAUAGCUCUAGAAAACAUAAUAUAGUUCGAAAGUU